GUGAGAGGUUCUUGUCCAAAACAACCUGAAAGUCAUGAAUGUGGUUAUUAUGUACUAAGAUACAUUUAUGAUCUUGUAAAUGCACCGAAUCCAGCAGAAGUUAUCAAGAAGAAAUGGUUUGACAAAAAGCAAUUCAAUGUCAAAGAGGAUCUACUACCACUACAAAGUGAUUGGUUAGCUAGAUUAAUGCCAUUUGUUUAUGAAAACUAAAUUUUUGUAUGUAUGUAAGAUUAAAGUGCUAACUUAUAUUGGUUAGAAUGAUUAAAGUCUUUAAUUCA